rnacentral:snRNA from 1 species
GGCUUGUGGCAGCCAAGCG